CUACGGGAUGCAGCAGUGAGGAAUAUUGCACAAUGGGGGGAACCCUGAUGCAGCAACGCCGCGUGGAGGAUGGCGCAUUUCGGUGUGUAAACUCCUUUUAUAUGUCAAGAAAAUGACGGUAGCAUAUGAAUAAGCACCGGCUAACUCCGUGCCAGCAGCCGCGGUAAUACGGAGGGUGCAAGCGUUACUCGGAAUCACUGGGCGUAAAGGACGCGUAGGCGGGUUGGAAAGUCAGGUGUGAAAUCCUACAGCUUAACUGUAGAACUGCACUUGAAACUUCUAAUCUAGAGUAUGGGAGGGGGAGAUGGAAUUAGUGGUGUAGGGGUAAAGUCCGUAGAUAUCACUAGGAAUACCUAAAGCGAAGGCGAUCUCCUGGAACAUUACUGACGCUAAGGCGUGAAAGCGUGGGGAGCAAACAGGAUUAGAUACCCGGGUAGUC
rnacentral:rRNA from 1 species